AAGUACUAUUCUCCCUCAUCACUCAUCCAUCGGCUCCAAGAUGCGAUGAUUAAGACAGAAGAGGAGUCUGAGGCCCUGCACCGGCAGCUCCUUGAUAGAGAAGUCGAUCUUUCAGCCUUUGUACAGAAAUACAAGAAGAUGAGGCAUACUUAUCAUAAACGCACUCUUACCCACCUCGCCGCGAAGACUUGUGCAACCAGCUGAGCAAACGCUUCGUUUAGGAAGGUGUACACAAUUGUUCUAUUAUUGUAAUAUAAUUGCUGUUUUCCUAUGAAUUUUAAAUGGUGCAAACAGACUUAUUAAUAGUUGAAAGAAUUUGGAAUUUGAUCUA